rnacentral:rRNA from 1 species
UACAGAGGUCUCAAGCGUUGUUCGGAUUCAUUGGGCGUAAAGGGUGCGUAGGCGGCGCGGUAAGUCGGGUGUGAAAUCUCGGGGCUUAACUCCGAAACUGCAUUCGAUACUGCCGUGCUUGAGGACUGGAGAGGAGACUGGAAUUUACGGUGUAGCGGUGAAAUGCGUAGAUAUCGUAAGGAAGACCAGUGGCGAAGGCGGGUCUCUGGACAGUUCCUGACGCCGAGGCACGAAGGCCAGGGGAGCAAACGGG